UUUAAUAAAGACCAUUUGUUAUAAUAUUCUUUUGAGUGGUUGAGGCACCCCACUAUUAAGAUGACAACGGAAAAGAACCAAAUUCACAGGGAACACAACUCUUGAAAGUUGAAUCAAUAUCCCCUCAAAGCAUCUCUUGCAAGCUCUCUGUUCAUCACAAUCAUUAUUAACAUAUUGUUAAGGUUAACUGUUAUGCUUUAACAGUUUCAAUGGCUUACCCUGGUACCCUAAGCUCACUGUACGCGGUUACUGUUUGGAUUGCUUCAUACGCUCUUGUUGCGAUUAUUGGGUUGUUUCAAAUCUCCUGUUUUAUUGGCAUCUCUAUUUUCAAUCAGUAAAGAACUUUAAAGGGGGGGGGGGGGGGGGGGGAGGGGGAGGAGAUGAAAAGAUCAAGAAAUGGCGAAAGAGGUCAUUGGUUAUGCACAGUUGGUAAUCUGUUCUGCAGAGCGUGUAGGUGAAUCUGCAAGCCUUUCGUUAUGAAUCUGCAGGAGUUUUGGAGCUGGAAAUGUAGGCGAAUCUUCAUCCGUUUUCUCUUCAUGCGACGAAAUGAUCAACGAUAUGCUUAUCACAGUGACCAGGAAGUGAUUCAGUAUUUGUGAGAAGAAGCCGAAUCCACUACUCACCUACACUCAUAAUGAAGUUAUCCGAGCGAGGAUACGUAACAGGGACACGCACCUUAAUUUUUGAGUUGAUCUGACCGAGCACUUACGGUUUGAUCGUGAACAGGGAGAAGAUGA
rnacentral:lncRNA from 1 species